CAAGUAAAUCGCCUUAUCGCUGCUUAUUAAAAUAAGUGGAGGAAAGUCCGGACACCAAAGUGCAACAUAGUGGCUAAUAACCACCAGUCGUGAGGCUAGGAAAAGUGCAACAGAAAGUAUGUACAGGUCAUGCUGUAGUGAAACCAGGUAAACUCUAUGUGGUGCAAUGUCAUGUAUACCAACGUUUGAGGGCUGCACGCUCGAUUGUUGGAGGGUAGGCAGCUAAAGUGUAUUGGUAACAAUACACUCAGAUAAAUGAUAAGGGCUCUUUUUGAGUACAGAAUUCGGCUUAUAGAUUUACUUUACCA
rnacentral:RNase_P_RNA from 1 species